GGAAUCUUGCCCAAUGGACGAAAGUCUGAUGCAGCGACGCCGCGUGGGGGAUGAAGGCCCUAGGGUCGUAAACCCCUUUCAGUGGGGACGAAAAUGACGGUACCCACAGAAGAAGGUCCGGCCAACUACGUGCCAGCAGCCGCGGUAAGCCGUAGGGACCGCGCGUUGUCCGGAAUUAUUGGGCGUAAAGAGCUCGUAGGCGGUUGCGUAAGUCGGAUGUGAAAGCUCAGGGCUCAACCCUGAGACGCCAUCCGAUACUGCGCUGUCUUGAUUCCUGGAGGGGAGUGUGGAAUUCCUGGUGUAGCGGUGAAAUGCGCAGAUAUCAGGAGGAACACCUAUGGCGAAGGCAGCACUCUGGGCUGGUAUUGACGCUGAGGAGCGAAAGCAUGGGUAGCAAACAGGAUUAGAUACCCCGGUAGUCC
rnacentral:rRNA from 1 species